CACGCAGGCGGUUUCUUAAGUCCUUUGUGAAAGCCCGGGGCUCAACUCCGGAACUGCAGAGGAUACUGGAUGUCUUGAAUUAGUGUGAAGUGGUUAGAAUGUGUAGUGUAGCGGUGAAAUGCAUAGAUAUUACACAGAAUACCAAUUGCGAAGGCAGAUCACUAACACUAUAUUGACGCUGAGGGACGAAAGCGUGGGGAGCGAACAGGAUUAGAUACCCUGGUAGUCC
rnacentral:rRNA from 1 species